rnacentral:rRNA from 1 species
UACGAAGGGGGCUAGCGUUGUUCGGAUUUACUGGGCGUAAAGCGCGUGUAGGCGGGUCGUUAAGUUGGGGGUGAAAUCCCGAGGCUCAACCUCGGAACUGCCUUCAAAACUGGCGACCUGGAGCGAGAUAGAGGCAAGUGGAAUUCCGAGUGUAGAGGUGAAAUUCGUAGAUAUUCGGAGGAACACCAGUGGCGAAGGCGACUUGCUGGAUCUCUGCUGACGCUGAGACGCGAAAGCGUGGGGAGCAAACAGG